AUAUUAAUAUACAUUAUACACACUUACAAGUACAUUUAAAACUAAACACAUACGUAUGUUGUUUUCUUUCAAAGUUAUGGUUUUACUUGGUCAAUUCAAUUAUCUUGCAAUGCAAUAUUUUUUUUUCUAUCUAUUUUUAGCAAGAGCUUUUAUGCUAAUUUUGAUUUUCUCAUCAACUUUAUUAUUGGUGUCAGCUUCACUUGCAACGUACGCAUUGAGAAAAUAUAAAGAAGGCCCAGAGGGCAGUUUAAAAAAAGCAACACUUGUACGACUUUGCCUGGUCACAGACACACAUAAGUAUCAGAUAUCAGAUAUCAGGUGACAGGUGGUAAAUAACACUCGAGACGUAUGCGCAAUCGUACAAGAUUCUGUGCUCCAAAACAUUCAUAGCCUUCAGCUACGAAUCUAUAUCAUGCUGAGUUGUAUUUUUUUUAAUGAAUGAAGGCCAGACAGAAAUUGUAUACAUAAAUGUUCUUAAAACUUAAGUGACCUCUUAUGAUAAAGGCCAGCGCAAUAAAGUGC
rnacentral:sRNA from 1 species